rnacentral:rRNA from 1 species
GGAUAAGCGGCGGAAACGCCGUCUAAUACCGCGUGACAACCCGAGGGGGCAUCCCCUUGGGUUCAAAGGAGAGAUCCGGUACCGGCUGGGCAUGCGGCGCAUUAACUAGUUGGCGGGGCAACGGCCCACCAAGGCGACGAUGCGUAGGGGUUCUGAGAGGAAGGUCCCCCACACUGGAACUGAGACACGGUCCAGACUCCUACGGGAGGCAGCAGUGAGGAAUAUUGGUCAAUGGGCGCAAGCCUGAACCAGCCAAGUCGCGUGAGGGAAGACGGCCCUACGGGUUGUAAACCUCUUUUGCCGGGGAGCAAGCCUGAGCACGUGUGCCCAGGCGGAGAGUACCCGGAGAAGAAGCAUCGGCUAACUCCGUGCCAGCAGCCGCGGUAAUACGGAGGAUGCGAGCGUUAUCCGGAUUUAUUGGGUUUAAAGGGUGCGCAGGCGGGCUGUUAAGCCGGCGGUAAAAAUUCAGGGCUCAACCCUGUCGAGCCGUCGGAACUGGCAGUCUUGAGUGGGCGAGAAGUAUGCGGAAUGCGUGGUGUAGCGGUGAAAUGCAUAGAUAUCACGCAGAACGCCGAUUGCGAAGGCAGCAUACCGGCGCCCAACUGACGCUGAGGCACGAAAGCGUGGGGAUCGAACAGGAUUAGAUACCCUGGUAGUCCACGCAGUAAACGAUGAGCGCUAACUGUCCGGAGCGAGCGAGCUCUGGGU